rnacentral:rRNA from 1 species
UGGGCAACCUGCCCCAGACACAGGGAUAACCCCGGGAAACCGGGGCUAAUACCGGAUACUCCGGUCGAACCGCAUGGCUCGAUCGGGAAAGCUCCGACGGUCUGGGAUGGGCCCGCGGCCUAUCAGCUCGUUGGUGGGGUAACGGCCUACCAAGGCGACGACGGGUAGCUGGUCUGAGAGGACGACCAGCCACACUGGGACUGAGACACGGCCCAGACUCCUACGGGAG